rnacentral:lncRNA from 1 species
GAAUGAAUCACUUGUGGGGUGCUGCAUUUCCCAGAGCAGAUGGGAGCUGUUGGGUUCAGAGUCAGAAAUUAUGGAAAGGGAUGCAACGUGUAUCAGCUCCCUUUGGGCAGGAGAGAUCAGAGCGGGGGAUAGGAUGAUUGAAGUGUUUUGGUUUGGUUUGGUUGGAAGACUGUACUGGCUUGCCAGAGGGAAUUCAGAGAAAACCAGAAUACUUUCCCAAAGAGAAGGCAAUUUGACCACCUGCAACUGGAAAGACAUCAAUCAGAUCUCAUUUGGAUUGCCAUCCUUGGGCUUCUCCACUGCAACUCAGAGAGUCCUGGGGCCCCUGUGCCAUUCCUGCUUUGGGGACAUGGGCAGAAAAAAGGUGGAUGCUGGGGAGAGCAGCACAGAAGUAACAGUCCAGCCAUCUCUGCUGUGA